AGAGAGAGGCUGCUGGGUGACCAGAUGAUGCCAGCAAGACCUCCUCUUCCAUCUAUUCCUGGUGGUGAAGGAGAAGCAACGGCUGUGGAAGCAGCUCAGGGUCCAGUGUGCUUUGAAGAUGUCACUGUUCGUUUCACAGAUGAGGAAUGGGCGUUGCUGGAUCCUGACCAGAGAGCUCUGCAUAAGGAAGUCAUGGAGGAGAAUUGUGGGAUAGUGGCCUCUCUCAGUAAGGCUCCCUUUUGGAUUGUAAUCUCUCUUUGGAAAUUCCAUGCAUCUCUCUCUGUGAUAAGCCUCCCUGGUUUUGAGGGAGCUCUGCAGGGCCACUUGCAGCACCUGGGAUUCUAAUACCCCCAAAACUGACCUUAAAUGGAGGGCUAUCAGCAGGUUUUGACCGUGGACAUGAUGAACCCAGCAUAGAGCUUGCUGAGAAUGGAGUGGGAACAUGCUGGGAAUUUGAGGUUAGGAAAGCACAUCUUUGUUUGACACUGUCCUGCCUUGUAUUUCCCAAAAUCUUCCUGACACAGAGCUUGUGGAAGGCAUUGAGGGGUUGUUUCUGAUGGUUGUAAUUGUCCACAAUUCACUUCACAAAGCAGCUUGCUCAACACACAAUCCUGAUAGACCUUCAUCUUGGUAUUGGUUAGCAUCCCAUUCACCCAUACGGUGGUCCCUCGGGUUACAGACACUUCAGGUUACAGACGCUUCAGGUUACAGACUCCGCUAACCCAGAAAUAGUACCUUGGGUUAAGAACUUUGCUUCAGGAUGAGAACAGAAAUUGUGCGGCAGCGGCAUGGCGGCAGCGGUAGGCCCCAUUAGCUAAAGUGGUACCUCAGGGUAAGAACAGUUUCAGGUUAAGAACAGACCUCCAGAACGAAUUAAGUUCUUAACCAGAGGUACCACUGUACUCUUUUGGAGAGGUGAGCCGUUGCCGGAACUGCCUCGCCAGUACACUUGUCCAGGUCAGCAUCAACGAAGAGGUUGUUGGUUUCUUAGGUAGACACAAUCAUCCACCACCUCCAUUGUCUGAAACUCGCAUGGUGCUAGGCACAUUUUGCAACAGGGAAUGUCAUAGACACGAGCAGUUUCCGAGCUCUGCUCGCAGAAUCUAAUAUUUCGGAUUAAAACUGCAGAGUGGAAGGAAAGAAGGACCUUUUUCUGCCUCCCCACUUCCAGCUACUCUCUAAAGACUGAAGGAGAGACCUUCUUAAAAACUCAGAGGGGUGGGCAGGGGAAGGACCAGACCAUGUGAAAAAUGAACAUAUUAUUUCAGCUGCUGUUCAUUCCUUUUCAGCUUUGUAUUUUUGUCAUA